CCACAUCAGGCCUGAUGAUCUUCUCCCUCACCACAUAGCAAGGAAAGAGGCUCGGGAGAGGCCUCCAGAAAGGU
rnacentral:lncRNA from 1 species